rnacentral:rRNA from 1 species
UGGAUUCAGAGGUGGGGUUGUGGGUCGGGUGUGGCCCGGCAGCUUGUCUCCGUGUGCCGCUCCCAAUCAACCCGCGUUUGCCCCAGCCUCCUAUCGCACGGAAACGGAGUCCUGCUGGGGUCUCCUUAACUGGGGGUUCCAGCGCUUCCGCGCACAACGUGCGCUUACGGACCGUCCGUGGACGUUACUGUGAACAAAACAGCGUGUUCAAAGCAAGUGGCUUGCCUGCCCUGCAUGUUAAAGCAUGGAAUAACAAGGCACCGACCACUCGGCGGUGCUUUUGUUGGUCUUUCCCUCCCGGUGGGAAUGCGCAGGCGUGCACACUGCCGGCCUUCUGGCCGGUCUGGGUGCCGUCUCUUCGAGAUCAAUAGGGGCAAACGGGGAGAUACCUAUUGUGGGGAGAGCGGUGAAAUGCGAUGACCCCCAUAAGAGGAACUUCAGCGAAAGCAGUUCUCAAGACUGCCUUCGUUAAUCAAGAACGAGACUGUGGGGAUCAAAGAUGAUCAGAUACCGUCGUAGUCCACUAGCGUAAACGAUGCCGACUCAUCAUUGGGGGGCAUCUCUAACAAGCGCCCCCCAGUGGUUCUCCCC